UACGUAGGCGGAAAAUUAAGUCAGUAGUGAAAUCCUGCAGCUUAACUGUAGAACUGUUAUUGAUACUGGUUUUCUUGAAUAUAGUUGAGGUAGGCGGAAUGUGUAAUGUAGCGGUGAGAUGCUUAGAUAUUACACAGAACACCGAUUGCGAAGGCAGCUUACUAAGCUAUGAUUGACGCUGAGGUACGAAAGCGUGGGGAGCGAACAGGAUUAGAUACCCUGGUAGUCC
rnacentral:rRNA from 1 species